rnacentral:rRNA from 1 species
UACGGGAGGCAGCAGUGGGGAAUAUUGCACAAUGGGCGCAAGCCUGAUGCAGCCAUGCCGCGUGUAUGAAGAAGGCCUUCGGGUUGUAAAGUACUUUCAGUCGUGAGGAAGGUGUUAAGGUUAAUAACCUUAGCAAUUGACGUUAGCGACAGAAGAAGCACCGGCUAACUCCGUGCCAGCAGCCGCGGUAAUCGGAGGGUGCGAGCGUUAAUCGGAAUUACUGGGCGUAAAGGGCACGCAGGCGGUUAAUUAAGUUGGAUGUGAAAUCCCCGGGCUUAACCUGGGAAUGGCAUUCAAGACUGGUUAGCUAGAGUCUUGUAGAGGGGGUAGAAUUCCAUGUGUAGCGGUGAAAUGCGUAGAGAUGUGGAGGAAUACCGGUGGCGAAGGCGGCCCCUGGACAAAGGACUGACGCUCAUGUGCGAAAGCGUGGGGAGCGAAACAGGGAUUAGAUACC